UUCUUGUAGUGUAAUGCAACACGUCGGUUUUUCACACUGGAGAUGGAUUAGUCCUGAGGGC
rnacentral:tRNA from 1 species